UACGUAGGGGGCGAGCGUUGUCCGAAUUAUUGGGCGUAAAGGGCUCGUAGGCGGUUUGUCACGUCGGGGAGUGAAAACUCGGAGCUUAACUCCGAGCCUGCUUCCGAUACGGGCAGACUAGAGGUAGGCAGGGGGAGAGCGGAACUCCUGGUGUAGCGGUGGAAUGCGCAGAUAUCAGGAAGAACACCGGUGGCGAAGGCGGCUCUCUGGGCCUUACCUGACGCUGAGGAGCGAAAGCGUGGGUAGCGAACAGG
rnacentral:rRNA from 1 species